rnacentral:piRNA from 1 species
UGCUAAUACCACAGCACUACAUUUCCAGA